GAUGAACGCUGGCGGCGUGCCUAAUACAUGCAAGUCGAGCGAACGGACGAGAAGCUUGCUUCUCUGAUAUUAGCGGCGAACGGGUGAGUAACACGUGGAUAACCUACCUCUAAGACUGGGAUAACUGCUGGAAACCGGAGCUAAUACCGGAUACUAUUUUGAACCGCAUGGUUCAAAAGUGGAAGACGGUCUUGCUCUGGCUUAUAGAUGGAUCCGCGCUGCAUUAGCUAGUUGGUAAGGUAACGACUUACCAAGGCAACGAUGGAUAGCCGACCUGAGAGGGGGAUCGGCGACACGGGAAGGGAGACGAGGACACGACGACUAAGGGAGGGAGCAGUCUGGUAUCGGACGCAAUGGGGGGAAGUCUUACGGAGCAGCGCCGCGCGAGUGAUGACGGCCCCGCGAGCGGAAAACCGUGCUACGAGGUAAGAACAUAUUUGUACGGAAAAGUGCAGAAAGUGACGGUACCUGAUCAGAAAGCCACGGCUAACUACGUG
rnacentral:rRNA from 1 species